rnacentral:rRNA from 1 species
UACGUAGGGGGCAAGGCGUUGUCCGGAAUCAUUGGGCGUAAAGCGCGUGUAGGCGGCUUGGUAAGUCUGCUCUGAAAGCCCGGGGCUCAACCCCGGGAGGCGGGUGGAUACUGUCAAGCUCGAGUCCGGAAGAGGAGUGUGGAAUUCCUGGUGUAGCGGUGAAAUGCGUAGAUAUCUGCAGGAACACCCGUGGCGAAAGCGGCGCGCUGGACCACAACUGACGCUGAGGAACGAAAGCUAGGGGAGCAAACAGG